GACGGGGCCCGCACAAGCGUGGAGCAUGUGGUUUAAUUCGAAGCAACGCGAAGAACCUUACCAGGUCUUGACAUCCCGAUGCUAUUUCUAGAGAUAGAAAGUUACUUCGGUACAUCGGUGACAGGUGGUGCAUGGUUGUCGUCAGCUCGUGUCGUGAGAUGUUGGGUUAAGUCCCGCAACGAGCGCAACCCCUAUUGUUAGUUGCCAUCAUUCAGUUGGGCACUCUAGCGAGACUGCCGGUAAUAAACCGGAGGAAGGUGGGAUGACGUCAAAUCAUCAUGCCCCUCAUGACCUGGGCUACACACGUGCUACAAUGGUUGGUACAACGAGUUGCGAGUCGGUGACGGCGAGCUAAUCUCUUAAAGCCAAUCUCAGUUCGGAUUGUAGGCUGCAACUCGCCUACAUGAAGUCGGAAUCGCUAGUAAUCGCGGAUCAGCACGCCGCGGUGAAUACGUUCCCGGGCCUU
rnacentral:rRNA from 1 species